rnacentral:rRNA from 1 species
GAAUAAUUUACCACUGAUUACAAGGUAUUGAAUAAGAUUUUAAUUGAAUGCUAAGAGAAUGGAAGUCCAGAAAAAAACUUUUUUUAAAUUAAAAAUUGAAGUUUUUUUAAUUUGUGCAGAAACAAUUAUUUAUAUUAAAGACAAGAAGACCCUAUGAAUUUAUUAAAUUUUUAUUUAAUAUGUAAUUACUAUUAGAAAAAUUUUGGCUGGGGCGGCUAGAAAAUAUUAUGAACUUUUUAAAAAUAAAAUGAUCCAUUAUUAAUGAUUUUAUGUUAAAUACUCUAGGGUAAACAGCGUAAA